AGUGAACGCUGGCGGUAGGCCUAACACAUGCAAGUCGAACGGCAGCACAGGAGAGCUUGCUCUCUGGGUGGCGAGUGGCGGACGGGUGAGGAAUACAUCGGAAUCUACUCUGUCGUGGGGGAUAGCGUAGGGAAACUUACGCUAAUACCUCAUACGACCUACGGGGGAAAGCAGGGGACCUUCGGGCCUUGCGCGAUUGAAUGAGCCGAUGUCGGAUUAGCUAGGUGGCGGGGUAAAGGCCAACCAAGGCGACGAUCCGUAGCUGGUCUGAGAGGAUGAUCAGCCACACUGGAACUGAGACACGGUCCAGACUCCUACGGGAGGCAGCAGUGGGGAAUAUUGGACAAUGGGCGCAAGCCUGAUCCAGCCAUACCGCGUGGGUGAAGAAGGCCUUCGGGUUGUAAAGCCCUUUUGUUGGGAAAGAAAUCCAGCUGGCUAAUACCCGGUUGGGAUGACGGUACCCAAAGAAUAAGCACCGGCUAACUUCGUGCCAGCCGCCGCUGUAA
rnacentral:rRNA from 1 species